GUUGUUUGUAAUGACGAUGUAGCUGGUUCUCGACGAUAGAGGAUAGGCCAGGCAGGGCCUAGGCUAGGCUAGGGCCAGUACCAUGACUGGCAUGAGUAGAAUCUACUGCUGGCAGUGCCAGUAGGGCUAGGGGCAGUACUUGCAGUAGGGCUCGCCACAGGUCAGUACAAGGCACCACCCCACCGACGGUCGGUGGCAGUUGCCACUUGAACUGGCGAUACCAAGUAAAGUUUAUCAGACUCUGAUUCUACAGACAGUUACUCUUGGCGAUACCCAUGAAAUCUGUGCUGCUGACAAUGGUGGAACAGGCCACACCACUGCCACUGUGCCAGGCCAUGCCGGCAGCCCUCGGCUAUCGCCAUUCGUUCGUUCGCACCCGUGACCAAAGAGUCGACAGUGUCGACCGCGAUCCAAGUAAUCAGUUUGUUCACGCGGACUAGUGAGUAGUAAUGAGUCUAGCAAAGCCACUGGAAUAAGGAUCUGACUCUGAGCCAGGACGGUGACGAAUGGGACACCAAGUAAAGCAACGACGUUACGAACUUACGUGUCGCUCGACCAACUGCUACUCAUCGGUCCGCAACGAGUAGCAGUCCCCAACUCCCCAACCCCGCAACAAAGCAACUGCCAAAAUGCACUUUGCCAUGCAGGACCACAGUCUGUGCAGGAGUUGACAAACAUGACAGCUAGGGGAAUCACCACUGGCAUCCAUGAUUGUGUGACAUCAUCGUGGCUCUAAGCAUGCAAUGCGCAAGUAACUUAGUUAGCUGAUUGGAUUGCAUCGACCGUGUGCUGCUGCGGGCCAGUGCAUGGGCAAUGCCUAAGCAUUCACGGGGCUACUCAGUGGGAACAAGAAUUCCCCCCAUGUGCUUGCUUGAUUUCAUCAGCAUCAUGCACAAUGGACAGUGUUAGAUGGGCUGUGUCGUAUCUCGACGGGUAGGAUCUGAGUGAUGAGCGGUGUGUAGCGGAGUAUCAUAGGUAGGAUCUGAGUGAUGAGCGGUGUGUAGCGGAGUAUCAUGGGUAGGAUCUGAGUGAUGAGCGGUGUGUAGCGGAGUAUCAUGGGUAGGAUCUGAGUGAUGAGCGGUGUGUAGCGGAGUAUCAUGAGAUCUGAGUGAUGAGCGGUGUGUAGCGAAGUAUCGUGAGCGUACACCUCCAUGUAAUCCGGCAAUGGGUGAUUUUUGCAGCGUGAGUGCGUGGAUGCUUCUUGCCGAAAUUCGCCUAGGAGGUAUCAGCAAUGAACUAAUCCUGAGGUGCCCACUAUCGACUGGGUCAUGAAUAAUGCAAGCAGGACGUUAGGGCAAACUGUGCUGUGAGUGCUCCUGAACGCCUCAAUCCUGUGACUUGAGAUUGUUUGAAUCCGAGGCCGCUACUGACUAUGUGAUGUAUUGUGGGCUUCUGUAUUCACUCUGCCAUUCACUGUGCCAUUCACUGUGCCAUUCAUUGUUGCAAUGAACUCCGUGACUUUGA